UGUUUGAUGUUCUAACGUGGACCCGUGAUCCGGGUUGCGGACAGUGUCUGGUGGGUAGUUUGACUGGGGCGGUCUCCUCCUAAAGAGUAACGGAGGAGCACGAAGGUUGGCUAAUCCUGGUCGGACAUCAGGAGGUUAGUGCAAUGGCAUAAGCCAGCUUGACUGCGAGCGUGACGGCGCGAGCAGGUGCGAAAGCAGGUCAUAGUGAUCCGGUGGUUCUGAAUGGAAGGGCCAUCGCUCAACGGAUAAAAGGUACUCCGGGGAUAACAGGCUGAUACCGCCCAAGAGUUCAUAUCGACGGCGGUGUUUGGCACCUCGAUGUCGGCUCAUCACAUCCUGGGGCUGAAGUAGGUCCCAAGGGUAUGGCUGUUCGCCAUUUAAAGUGGUACGCGAGCUGGGUUUAGAACGUCGUGAGACAGUUCGGUCCCUAUCUGCCGUGGGCGCUGGAGAACUGAGGGGGGCUGCUCCUAGUACGAGAGGACCGGAGUGGACGCAUCACUGGUGUUCGGGUUGUCAUGCCAAUGGCACUGCCCGGUAGCUAAAUGCGGAAGAGAUAAGUGCUGAAAGCAUCUAAGCACGAAACUUGCCCCGAGAUGAGUUCUCCCUGAGACUUAAAGUCUCCUGAAGGAACGUUGAAGACGACGACGUUGAUAGGCCGGGUGUGUAAGCGCAGCGAUGCGUUGAGCUAACCGGUACUAAUGAACCGUGAGGCUUAACCUUACAACGCCGAA
rnacentral:rRNA from 3 species